UGCAUUAAAAAUUGGUAAUGAACAAUGCAGUAGUAAGGAGUGAAUCUGGUAUUGACAGUAUGGUGAGACAAUUGUGGAUGUGUUCCAGUAUUAUUAAACCUCUUCAGUUAGAAUGGUGGUAAUGGUGAUGUGCUUCUUUAAAUUUUUAACAUGAAGGUUUGUCCCAUGGGCAUUUUGUCCUGCAUGCUGUCAGACCGUUGAGCCAACCUCUGUGUUUGUUGUAAAUUGAUGUUGCAAGAAAAAAGAUGUGAAGGGAAUAAAAAAAAAAAGAGGACUAGGUGCCAUUGUCAGAAUGGGGCCUGGUGAUGGUGAGGAAGUGUGGUAGGAAGUUUCUUAGCAGAAGUAAAGUAAAACCAACCAGAACUGAGGGCAGAAGACACUAGUUGUGGAACAGAGAGAAGACACUAGUUGUGGAACAGAGAGAAGACAACAUUUGUGGACUAGCAAUUGGAGUGUAUUAAUGACUGACUUCAUACCAAGUGGUUGAGUGUCCUUUUUUUUUUGGUUAUGAUCUCAGAUGUUCAUGUGUGUGAUAGCAGCAGGAGUGUCCAAAAUGAAAGAGAAGCACUCUUUUGCAGGCUUCACCUGAACUUUAUUGAAGAGCUUGAAGGCACCAUAAGCAUACCCCAGCAAUUAUUUAGACCUAUUGACAGUUGUUUGCUGCUGACAUCUCUACACCUCAUCCCCCAAUAAAUAUGGAUUCUCUCUCUUAUUUUAAUGAUUUAAAAGUCUGAAAGAUAGAGAGUUAUAUAAAGAAACAUUUGAAAAUGGUCUUGGAGGUAUACAUCUAAAGCUAAAAAGACAGUAAAAAAAAUAGUUUGUAGUAUUACUUCUGGCUCUUUGUGUUUCAUGUUCAAAUCUCAUCAAGAUCAGCUUUGCCUUUCAUCCUUCUGGGGUUGAUAAAAUAAAGUACUAAUCAAAUACCUAAAUUGGAAGCAAUUAUUAUUACCACUGUUAUGACAACAGUGCCAUAACAAUGAUUAACUUUGCUUGCUUCACAAUCCUGACGAUAAUGUCCACUAACUCUCUCAAGGCUUUCUUUUGUUUGUCUAUUGUUCUGAUCUAAAACCAAAUGUUGACUAAGAAAAAAAUUUUACCAUGAGAAAUGUUGAACAUUUCCACUUUGUGUUGUGGAAACUCUUGUUAUGGUAAUAAAAAUGAAAGCAUU
rnacentral:lncRNA from 1 species